rnacentral:lncRNA from 1 species
GUCAUAAUAGACGAGGUUAGCGAAGCGGCCAUGGCGGGGCUGCUCGGCCAUGGCGGUUCUUUCAACGUGGCCAGGCUGGGAGCACUAGGGUAGCAGCUCACAGCGCUGUCACAGCAAUGUGCUAUCCGAUCGAUCGAUCUGGGUCUCGGGUUUAGUUUCUAGAGGUUUCCGGCUUCUCCACAGCUAGUGGUUUCGUCCUCCGGCCUAUGGCACCGCUAGAAAAUCCUCCAAACCUUGAAGAACAGAUCGAGAUUUAGGAGCAGCGAGAGAUUGCACGAAAGAUCUUGCGUUGGGAGCUCGACCGCAAUUCUGCCUAGCUGCUCUAUCGAAGAUUUGCAAGUCGAGCGUUCAAACAGAGUGCUCAAGAGAUUGAGCUCCGUCCAUAAAUUCAAUCCUUUCUGGGCUCCGACCAAUGUGAUGCCGCGAUUCAAAUUUCUGGCGCUUGGUGCCUCAACAUGGGUAAUACCAUACGUAUUGAAAUAUCACAUAUUGAAUGAUUUUGGAACAGCUCAUGCACAACAAGGGAACUCUUUUGAUUAUAUAUACAUAUUUGUGCAGUUGGAGGCAUUUAUACAAUAUACAAAUUGAUUUCCUUGGAUUUCUUGUCUUUGGUCUAGUAAAAUUCAACAUUGGCAAAAGAGAACUCCAAGAUUAAAAUCAGGACACCAUUUGCAUCCAUUGCAUUGUGGUUUAAUGCAUCUAGUUGUUG